GGGGAAUAUUGCACAAUGGGCGAAAGCCUGAUGCAGCAACGCCGCGUGAGUGAUGAAGGUCUUCGGAUUGUAAAGCUCUGUCUUUUGGGACGAUAAUGACGGUACCAAAGGAGGAAGCCACGGCUAACUACGUGCCAGNAGCCGCGGUAAUACGUAGGUGGCGAGCGUUGUCCGGAUUUACUGGGCGUAAAGGGUGCGUAGGCGGAUGUUUAAGUGAGAUGUGAAAUACCCGGGCUUAACUUGGGUGCUGCAUUUCAAACUGGAUAUCUAGAGUGCAGGAGAGGAGAAUGGAAUUCCUAGUGUAGCGGUGAAAUGCGUAGAGAUUAGGAAGAACACCAGUGGCGAAGGCGAUUCUCUGGACUGUAACUGACGCUGAGGCACGAAAGCGUGGGUAGCAAACAGGAUUAGAUACCCUGGUAGUCCACGCCGUAAACGAUGAGUACUAGGUGUAGGAGGUAUCGACCCCUUCUGUGCCGCAGUAAACACAUUAAGUACUCCGCCUGGGAAGUACGAUCGCAAGAUUAAAAC
rnacentral:rRNA from 1 species